rnacentral:tRNA from 1 species
GCGGAAAUGCUGGAAUUGGCAGACAGGCAUGACUAAGGAUCAUGUUUCCAUAGGAAGUGAGGGUUCAAGUCCCUUUUUCCGCA